GUUACAUCAUAAGCAAAUAAUACGGCUCUGUACUCGGAUGAGCAGAUUAAAAUUCACAAGACGGCGAUCACUAAAAGCACCGUGCCGGUGAUAACAAUGGCCUGGAGUCGAAGAAAAAAGAGAUCUUUCCAACCUAUUCGCCCUAAUGCCUCCGUCGGAUUGUCUCACCACGCUUUAGAUCUCGCCGGAUCUGUUAAUUCCACGGCCGCUAGGGUUUGGGAUGCUUCUGAUCCUAAACCGGUUUCAACUUCUGCCGCAAGAUUAUGGUUCUAUGGCACGCCCACUACCACAAGUAUUACCAAUGGCUUCAGCCAUCAGUAGCGGUGGAAGUGGCGGUCGAUGAUGUAAACGACAAAGUGCUUAGCAUGGGGUUCCCAAGGGACCAAGUGAGAUAUCUUUCAAUGUAUGAUAAUCGGAUCCUUGGCUACUUUAAAGGGCAUAAAGACAGGGUUGUAUGUCUCCUCAUGUCUGCUUCUCUCGACCGAAGUGUCAUACUCUGGGAUCUUCGUGUUAGUGCCUGCCAGGUUAGUUUUCCAGUUUUACAUAGUCUGAGAAAGUCAUAUGGGAUACGUCUCAAUAUUGCUAGAUUUUUUUGCAGAAAACUGCCUUUGGGUUUUUUUUUUUUUUUUUGCCCUCGGAAUUUCUCCGUGAAAAUUAGAACAAGGUUUCUCGAUUUAGCCUCUCUUCCUUAAUUGUCUCUCUGUGAAUGUAUAUGGUUUCAUGAUUUAGGCUUACCCUUUUAGUCAAUAGGAAAUUCUACAUCUUCGUGGUAGGCCUGCAGUUGCGUAUGACCACCAACAAGGCCUGGUGUUUGCUAUCGCAAUGGAAUUUCUCCGUGAAAAUUAGAACAAGGUUUCUCGAUUUAGCCUCUCUUCCUUAAUUGUCUCUCUGUGAAUGUAUAUGGUUUCAUGAUUUAGGCUUACCCUUUUAGUCAAUAGGAAAUUCUACAUCUUCGUGGUAGGCCUGCAGUUGCGUAUGACCACCAACAAGGCCUGGUGUUUGCUAUCGCAAUGGAAUUUCUCCGUGAAAAUUAGAACAAGGUUUCUCGAUUUAGCCUCUCUUCCUUAAUUGUCUCUCUGUGAAUGUAUAUGGUUUCAUGAUUUAGGCUUACCCUUUUAGUCAAUAGGGAAUUCUACAUCUUCGUGGUAGGCCUGCAGUUGCGUAUGACCUCCUAAUCCCUGUUCGUUCCUUUUCAUCAACUCGCUUUACCAUUCUCUGAAUGUGAAAUAUCCGCCAAUCCUUGAUUCUCGGUCGGAGGCUUUGGCUGCGGUGUUGCAGAUCUCUAUGCACUGUCAAGAUACAUGGCAUAGCGGUGGAACCUAAAGUUGAUCCUUCAUCUAGCUCACAGUCAAAUGACCGUGAAGAAUCUGAAGUGAGACUUGCAAUAUUUUUGUUUUCUCUUCUUGUAUUAAAAGUAGGCUUUUUCUUGUUGUUUUCACACACAUUAUCUCGGAUUUGAGUUUGGUUUCAUGCCCCGGUUAUAUAUAUAGAAAUAAGGAUUUGUUGUCAUUGUUGAUUGAGAACUAGAGACCGGUUUAUGCGUGGAAUUGUUGGUUUUAAUCAUCAGUCAUUGGUGUU